UUAAUUCAUAAAGUAAGGUAGCAUGAUUGAAUGGACUACAGCUCAAUCAAAGCAAAGCAUCUCCUUUAUGAAUUAAUAAUGUGUCAUGGGCACCUUCCCAUCUCUCGCUCAUCGAGAAACCCAUUCUCUGCGAUGAGCAAUCCUUACUUACUCCCCAAUACCCCAGAGACCCUCUAAGCUCCCCUUGUAUUCGCCAUUCGCCACUCAACCAAUUCACCCUCUCCAUCAUCCCCAGUCAUGGGUGGAGACAGCUCUCCCAGGCCAUGCAGCUCUCUUCUCCAUGGACAUCAAUGGAGUAAAGACGAUAAUAAUUCUACAAAACUCAAACUUUCUGGCGCAGUUAGUCACGGAGGGAAUGAAGUUAGCCAUGGAGAACUUUGUAAGCCAGAUGCGGGUGACCAAUGCAAUGGAUCUUCUUACGCUAGCCGCAACUCCGGAGUUCUUCAGCACCAUGCAAGCACUUUGGAAUUUACCCCAUCAUCUAAGCAGUUUUUCAAACAUGGAAAGUAUGGUGCAGAUUCCCUUCUUCACCCAAUAGACAUAAUAAACUCUACUCACUGUUUUUCCCCUGACAACCAAUGCUAGUAAUUCAAGG
rnacentral:misc_RNA from 1 species